UCGAUUGAGUUUGAUCAUGGCUCAGGACGAACGCUGGCGGCGCGCUUAACACAUGCAAGUCGAGCGAGAACCACUCCUUCGGGAGUGGGGAAAGCGGCGAACGGGUGAGUAACACGUAGGUAAUCUGCCCUCGGUAUCGGGAUAGCCCGGGGAAACCCGGAUUAAUACCGGAUAGCCUCUAGAGCUUUCGGGCUCGUGAGAAAAGAGAGCUUCGGCCUUCGACCGAGGAGGAGCCUGCGGCGGAUUAGCUUGUUGGUGGGGUAAUGGCCUACCAAGGCGACGAUCCGUAGCUGGUCUGAGAGGACGAACAGCCACACUGGGACUGAGACACGGCCCAGACUCCUACGGGAGGCAGCAGUGGGGAAUCUUGCGUAAUGGGCGAAAGCCUGACGCAGCGACGCCGCGUGAGGGAAGAAGGCCUUCGGGUUGUAAACCUCUUUCAGGAGGGACGAAGCCACUCGGGUGAAUAGCCCAGAGGGUGACGGUACCUCCAGAAGAAGCCCCGGCUAACUACGUGCCAGCAGCCGCGGUAAUACGUAGGGGCAAGCGUUGUCUGGAUUUAUUGGGCGUAAAGAGCGUGUAGGCGGCCUGUUAGGUCGGUUGUGAAAACUCGAGGCUCAACCUCGAGACGUCGACCGAAACCAACAGGCUAGAGUCCGGAAGAGGAGAGUGGAAUUCCUGGUGUAGCGGUGAAAUGCGCAGAUAUCAGGAAGAACACCCGUUGCGAAGG
rnacentral:rRNA from 1 species